CCACAGCCCUGUUUCCAGUGCUGCAGGAAUACCAAGUGUUUCCAGCAACAUGCAGGAGGAUGUUUCAAAUGAGGAAUAGUCAACCUCUUGCUGCUUGUGCUUUCUGCUCCUACUAAUCACUGCUUUAUUCUCCCUUGUGCAAAAAAAGGUACAUUUGAUAUCAGCAGGUGGUUGGCUCCAGCCUCAGUGUCUUCAACAGG